UGUCUGGAAAUUUACACUAAGAAAAUAACCUAGAGGGCACACGCAUCCAGAAUAAAAAUAAAGUAAGGAAUGAGAAAGUGAACGCCGCAGACGGAAAAAGCUAUUUGCACAAAGAUGUUCAUUGCAGUGGUAUUUAUAAGAGCAAAAAAGAGGCCAGGCCUGGUGGCUCCCGCCUGUAAUCUCAGCACUCUGGGAGGCCGAGGCAGACAGAUCACGAAGUCGGGAGAUCGAGACCAUCCUGGCUAACACGGUGAAACCUUGUCUCUACUAAAAAUACAAAAAUUAGCCAGGCGUGGUGGCAGGUACCUGUAGUCCCAGCUACUCGGGAGGCUGAGGCAGGAGAAUCGCUUGAACCCGGAAGGCAGAGGUUGCAGUGAGCUGAGAUCUCACCACUGCACUCCAGCCUGGGUGACAGAGCGAGACUCCAUCUCAAAAAAAAAAAAAAAAAGUAAAAAAGAGCCUAAAUGUUCAACAGUGAAAGAAUGAUGAAAUAAAAACAAUGGUAUAUCUGCAAAAUAAGCCAUAAAAAGUGAAUUUAAGACUAUGUUUUAGGCCUGGUAAGGUGGCUAACAUCUGUAAUCCCAGGAUGCCAAGACUGGCGGAUUGCUUGAACUUAAGAGUUUGAGACUAGCCUGGCCAGCAUGGCGAAACCCCAUUUAAAAAAUAAAUAAAUAAAAUUAGCCAGGCAUAGUGGCACACACCUGUGGUCCCAGCUACUCCGGAGGCUGAGGUCGGAGGAUCGCUUAAGCCCAGGUGUGGAGGUUGCAGUGAGCUGAGGUCAUGCCACUGCACUCGAGCCUGGGUGAUGGAGCAAGACCCUGUCUCAAAGAAAAGAAGGUGUUUUAAACAAACGGGAAGAUAUCAAUGACGUUAUGCUAAGGAAAAGAAGCAGGACGUGCAGGACUCCCAGGACCAGGGCAUGAGGGAAACGUGUCAUCGUGACUGUAGGGCCUGGUGUAUAGACAGAUGUGCAUAUACAUAUUUGAUGAGCUUUGACGUCUCAUAUACAGAUGUUAGAAUUAGUGAAAUUACACACGGUCACCAUGCGCCGUUUGGUUCUCUUCCUUCUACCCUCAGUAAGGGUAGAAACAAGCAGGACAUAUAACUAUUUACAAAUCCUGAUCACAACUUUGUCAAAAAAAAAAAAAAAAAAAAAAAAAGAACAGAAGAAAGCUGGGAAAAAAUACCCCAAAGCGUGAAGAGUUUGUCUUGGGAGGUAGAAAUCCAGCUGGUUGCAUCCUGUACUUGCACGUUUUCUACAACAAGCAUGCACUGCAUUUAGAAUCAGACGAUGUAUGAUUGUAUUUGAUUAUCACUCAAACCUGAUCCCAUCACUGCUGCCCUUACAGAGCCGCGCUGGACGCAGAAUGGCCACCUGCCCUGGGGUCUCCGUCCACUCUCUGCUGCCCCCACCACGCUCAGCCUCCCACUUGCUCCUCCACCCUGACAUGCUGUCCCAACACCCCCGGCAUCUUGCAAAGCGCCUGAUGUGGUCCUUGGAGGAGCCCACCCCCGUCCACAGGGACCCUUCCUGCUCAAGACCACAGCCCAGGCCAGCUCACAGGGAACGUCCGCUGGACCAGUACCAGCCUCUAGAACGACCGGCUGGACUUGAAGCCACACAUGGCUCCGGGAUGAGCCCCUCACAGGCCUCCAACCUCCACCCCAAGGCACUAGCCCAGGAGGACCCUGCUCACGCCUCCCCGGGGAUCUGCAGCGUCACCCACCAUGGCCAUUCCUGACCUAGAUCACAGCCACUUCUAAAAGCACUGCCCGCGGCACCCCCAGCCCACCCUGGGCUUGGCUCCCAUGGCCGUGGGCUCACAACAGCCCUGGGUGCCUGGAGCCUGUGCCCCCAUGAGCUCUGCCCCCUGCUCACGCCUGUCCGGGCUCUCUGCUUGUCCAGGGUUUCUUCGGAGGCAGGGCCCAAGGCACAGGGUACUCAGGAACCCCCGCUGCAACGGCAGUCAGCCCCCAUCAGCCCAGCCUCAAAAUGCCCGGUGCCUCAGUUUCCCCAGUCUACCUGGAGGGGCAUGUCCCUCUGGUCCGACAGCUCAAGCCCCUGAGGAAGGUGAGCAGCUGACCCAUGAGGAGGGCCAUGAUUUUUUUAAUGGGAAAUAACAAGUGAGUCCUCAUGCUGCCGUGGGACCACUGCGGACCAGCCUGGUGCCUCUGGCGGGGACAGCACACAGCUCUGUGGAUACUCGGUGUCCAGACAGGCAAAUCCAGACACAGAAAGUGCGUGGGUGGCUGAGGGGAGGGGGAUGGGGAGGGACCACUGAUGGGUGCGGGGCUUCCUUCUGGGCUGAUGAGAAUGUUCUGGAACUAGAAGCAGUGGUGGUUUCCACACCUUGGUGAAUGUUCUACAAGCCCCUGAGCUGUUUGCUGUAAGAUGGUUAUUUUGUGUUAUGUGAAUUAUACCUCAAUACAUUUUUUUAAGUGAA